GCUGGGCUUGGUGGCGCAUGCCUGUAAUCCCAGCUACUCUGGAGGCUGAGGCAGGAGAAUCGCUUGAACCUGGGAGGCUGAGGUUGCAGUGAGCUGAGAUUGCGCUACUGCACUCUCCAGACUCCAGCCUGGGUGACAGAGCAAGACUCUGUCUCAA
ensembl:misc_RNA Metazoa_SRP Metazoan signal recognition particle RNA